GACGGGGGGGGCAAGUGUUCUUCGGAAUGACUGGGCGUAAAGCGCACGUAGGCGGAUAUUUAAGUCAGGGGUGAAAUCCCAGAGCUCAACUCUGGAGCUGCCUUUGAUACUGGGUAUCUUGAGUAUGGAAGAGGUGAGUGGAAUUCCGAGUGUAGAGGUGAAAUUCGUAGAUAUUCGGAGGAACACCAGUGGCGAAGGCGGCUCACUGGUCCAUUACUGACGCUGAGGUGCGAAAGCGUGGGGAGCAAACAGG
rnacentral:rRNA from 1 species